CCGCUCCUACGGGAGGCAGCAGUGGGGGAUAUUGCACAAUGGGGGAAACCCUGAUGCAGCGACGCCGCGUGGGCGAAGAAGUAUUUCGGUAUGUAAAGCCCUAUCAGCAGGGAAGAAGAAAUGACGGUACCUGAGUAAGAAGCACAGGCUAAAUACGUGCCAGCAGCCGCGGUAAUACGUAUGGUGCAAGCGUUAUCCGGAUUUACUGGGUGUAAAGGGAGCGCAGACGGCACGGCAAGCUUGAUGUGAAAGCCCGCGGCCCAACCGCGGG
rnacentral:rRNA from 1 species